AAUGAGAGUUUGAUCCUGGCUCAGGACGAACGCUGGCGGCGUGCCUAAUACAUGCAAGUAGAACGCUGAGGUUUGGUGUUUACACUAGACUGAUGAGUUGCGAACGGGUGAGUAACGCGUAGGUAACCUGCCUCAUAGCGGGGGAUAACUAUUGGAAACGAUAGCUAAUACCGCAUAAGAGUAAUUAACACAUGUUAGUUAUUUAAAAGGAGCAAUUGCUUCACUGUGAGAUGGACCUGCGUUGUAUUAGCUAGUUGGUGAGGUAAAGGCUCACCAAGGCGACGAUACAUAGCCGACCUGAGAGGGUGAUCGGCCACACUGGGACUGAGACACGGCCCAGACUCCUACGGGAGGCAGCAGUAGGGAAUCUUCGGCAAUGGACGGAAGUCUGACCGAGCAACGCCGCGUGAGUGAAGAAGGUUUUCGGAUCGUAAAGCUCUGUUGUUAGAGAAGAACGUUGGUAGGAGUGGAAAAUCUACCAAGUGACGGUAACUAACCAGAAAGGGACGGCUAACUACGUGCCAGCAGCCGCGGUAAUACGUAGGUCCCGAGCGUUGUCCGGAUUUAUUGGGCGUAAAGCGAGCGCAGGCGGUUCUUUAAGUCUGAAGUUAAAGGCAGUGGCUUAACCAUUGUACGCUUUGGAAACUGGAG
rnacentral:rRNA from 1 species